AGCGCCACCUCAUCGUGUCCGCCAUCUUGGGGCGACGGCCAGAAGUCCAGGGCUAGGAGCCUCAGCCGGCGGACGCCAGGAAACAGCAGUUACUGAUGCUACAAUAUUCCUUUAUGAAGCCAAGAACUGAACCAAAAUACAAACAACAUAAACUACCACUUGAUGAGAAGAACUUCAAAGUCAAAUUGCAAAAGGUGACUAAAAAAGGGGAGUACUUUCAGCCGUUUUCAAAAUAAUCUAUGAUAUGUACUGGAAAACUUCUAAUAAUCCUUGUCAUUUUACAACUUUCCCACAGUUAGAUCAUCAGCAAAUGUCACUUGGAUCCCUAGCUAAAUUGUUCUUCCCAGAAAAUAGUUAUCUCCACUAUGGAAAGUAUUUUAUCAGAAGAAUUCGUAGAAGUAGAAUCUGUUUGUCUUCAGUUAAACAAAAGAAGAACCUCAUUGCUUUCCAACUGGGCCCCGGCCAUUUUCCAGUUGAAACAUCAAAUAUUUUAUUUGUGUCUUUCACUGCCAAUUAAAGGGCAACAGAAAUGGUACAGGCUCCCUCUGCAGUGGAAUUACCCUUAUGUCUUUUCUGUCUAUGCUGAUCCACCUGAUCUUGAACUGGUGCUAUUCCAUGGGGAAAAUUGGAACAUGGGGCAAUUAACACUUUCUCCACUUUAUCCCAUCAACAGGAAAUUGAAAUAUAACCAACUAACUCAGGAGACAUCAUGGAAGAUGUCACACAGUGAAUGAUGAUGAAGCAGAAUUUUUAAAAUGUGUAGGAUUACGAGAAGUGGGGUCAUUUUUCUUUGUGUAUGGUAUUGCUGAUGCAGUUUAAUGCUCCAUUACUUCUAAAUUUUCAUCAUAAGCUAGAUUUUCCAGUUGUGGUUUCUAUAAAGAAAAACAAACAUUCUGAAGACAGUUUUUCCAGAUUUAUUCCAGAUAUCGAUGAUUAACUUUUGAAGCUCCUCUGUUGAUUUGAACAUCCGCUGAAGCUUAUUUUUCACCUCAGAAUAGCAUCAACAUUAUUUGAAAUUCAAUUGUACUUUCUCGUUACAUUAAUAAAUCAUGGAAGUUGAGAAAA
rnacentral:lncRNA from 1 species